rnacentral:sRNA from 1 species
UUAUUGCAAAUCGUCCUUGUUCUUGUCGAAUAUACAGUUCU